GACGAACGCUGGCGGCGUGCCUAAUACAUGCAAGUAGAACGCUGAAGGAGGAGCUUGCUUCUCUGGAUGAGUUGCGAACGGGUGAGUAACGCGUAGGUAACCUGCCUGGUAGCGGGGGAUAACUAUUGGAAACGAUAGCUAAUACCGCAUAAUAUUGACUAUUGCAUGAUAGUCAGUUGAAAGGUGCAACUGCACCACUACCAGAUGGACCUGCGUUGUAUUAGCUAGUUGGUGGGGUAACGGCUCACCAAGGCGACGAUACAUAGCCGACCUGAGAGGGUGAUCGGCCACACUGGGACUGAGACACGGCCCAGACUCCUACGGGAGGCAGCAGUAGGGAAUCUUCGGCAAUGGACGGAAGUCUGACCGAGCAACGCCGCGGGAGUGAAGAAGGUUUUCGGAUCGUAAAGCUCUGUUGUAAGAGAAGAACGAGUGUGAGAGUGGAAAGCUCACACUGUGACGGUAUCUGACCAGAAAGGGACGGCUAACUACGUG
rnacentral:rRNA from 1 species